rnacentral:rRNA from 1 species
AUUGAACGCUGGCGGCAGGCCUAACACAUGCAAGUCGAGCGGAGCGGCGGACGGGUGAGUAAUGCCUAGGAAUCUGCCUGGUAGUGGGGGAUAACGUCCGGAAACGGGCGCUAAUACCGCAUACCAUCAGAUGAGCCUAGUUCGGAGUAGCUAGUGGGGGGGGUAAAGGCCUACCAAGGCGACGAGCCGUAACUGGUCUGCGAGGAUGAACAGUCACAUUGGAACUGAGACAAGGUCCAUACUCCUAGGGGAGGCGGCAGUCAGUAGUAUUGGACAAUGGGGGAAAACCUGCUCCACCACUGCCGCGUGUGUGAAGGAGGUCUUCGGAUUGUAGAGCACUUUAAGUUGGGAGGAGUUACCAACCGAAUAAGCGCCGGCUAACUUCGUGCCGGCAGCCGCGGUAAUUC